GGAUGUAUGGGCGAUCUGGCUGUGACAUCUGUCACCCCAUUGAUCGCCAGGGUUGAUUCGGCUGAUCUGUCUGGCUAGGCGGGUGUCCCCUUCCUCCCUCACCGCUCCAUGUGCGUCCCUCCCGAAGCUGCGCGCUCGGUGGAAGAGGACGACUUCCCAGGUAUAGAAGGAGUGUACCAAGGUCUCCAGUCUUCGGUCCCGGGUAUACGAUAGCUGCGUUCCUCUGCUAGAACCUCCAAACAUAUACAAUCAAGGUGACAGUAAGAACACAGAACUAUGGGUUUAUCAACAGGUUUCUGU
rnacentral:snRNA from 1 species